UACAGAGGUCUCAAGCGUUGUUCGGAUUCAUUGGGCGUAAAGGGUGCGUAGGCGGCGCGGUAAGUCGGGUGUGAAAUCUCGGAGCUUAACUCCGGAACUGCAUUCGAUACUGCCGUGCUUGAGGACUGGAGAGGAGACUGGAAUUUACGGUGUAGCGGUGAAAUGCGUAGAUAUCGUAAGGAAGACCAGUGGCGAAGGCGAGUCUCUGGACAGUUACCGACGCUGAGGCACGAAGGUCAGGGGAGCAAACGGG
rnacentral:rRNA from 1 species